rnacentral:lncRNA from 1 species
GCAAUACCAUUGAGGACAUAAGCAUGGGCAAAGACUUUCAUGACUAAAACACCAAAAGGAAUGGCAACAAAAGCCAAAAUUGACAAAAGGUUUCCUUAACGACAACAAAAAAGGGAGUAAUCCUACCUACUGUAAGAGUCAUGACUCUUGAUUGCAGCUGACAGAAACUCAUGACAGCCUGGUUUAGAUAAAGGGGGAGAGAAGGACUGGAAGAAUCUUGGAGUUGGGAAUGUCGCACGUAAUUGAAGGAAGAACAAGAAAACUAUAAUUCUUCCCCUGGAGGCUGGAGUUUCCAGGAUGUCAAAAUUACCUCUGCUUGGGUGAGCUAUUUCAAGCAGCUGGGAUACCUGUGUCACUCCUGCUGUCUGCCAGUGACUGCCCAGGUGUCUGCUGGUUCCUCCCCAGGAGUAGGGAGGAACCAGGUGGGCUGGCUGGGAUGGGUGGAUAUUUAAAGACCAGGCCUUGGACGCCGCAGCACUUCUAUCUCUGCUUGAUGCCUGCUGCCACGUGGCUGGUCCUCCUCCUCUUGCUGUGGCUGAGCCCUGGGGUGAAGACAGGCAGCUAUUCCCAACCCCAGAACCUUUGCUGUCUUGGAACAGAUCACCACUGCAAGAGGGGAAGUUGCUACUGUGAUGAAUUCUGCCAUGUGGUACCAGACUGCUACCCAGACCACAGUGUCCUCUGCAACCCUCGUCAAAGGUGCCUACAUGUUCCUUCUAGCUUUGUUUCCCUGAUGUUCCUUGCCACCUGCUACUCCUCUCUGAGCUACUUUUCCAGCUUCUCAGAUGACCAAGAUGGUGCUGCAGAUGGUGCUGAGGAUGGAGAACCCACCAAGCCCCG